rnacentral:pre_miRNA from 1 species
UGAUAGUAUAAGCUUAAACAAUACAUUAUAGACUUAUCAAUUGUUUGGUGCUAACAUUGUAUUGUAUAAGCUUAUACAUCA